UGUGUGUGUGUGUGUGUGUGUGUGUGUGUCUCAUUUAUUUUUUUUAUUAUGUAUAUUUUUUUUGUUUUUGUAUAAUUUUUGCUUAUUUUUUUUUUCCUUUCAUUUUUUCUUUCUUUGCUUAUUUUGUAAUUUGUUUGUAUUUCCUUGUGUCUCUGAAUGUUGUUAAAGAGAGGUGCAUUGUGAGUAAAGCAUCAUUUUCUCUUUCCUUUCCUCAUUUCUUUACUUUUUCCUCUUAUUCCUUCCUUUCUGUCAUCAUUACAAACCCUUUCUCUCAUUUUCCUUACCAUAAACCAUCAAAACAUCUUAACAAUCUCAUUUAAAUCACUUUUCUUUUCAUUAUCAUCUGUUUGUUUACAUUCUCUUGCUUUCUUUCACUUAUUAAUUCAUUACACUCCUGUUUGUGUGUUUAGGAAUGUUUUGAGAUAUUUUGGGGUGUUUUGGAGGUGUUUUGGGGUGUUUUUUCAAGUGUUUUGAGGUAAAUUGUCUGUUUUUGGGUAUAUUUGUCUGUUUUUGUCUGUUUUUUGGGUAUUAUUGGGGUUUUGGAGGUGUUUUGGGGGUGUUUUUGCAUGUGUUUUGAGGUAAAUUGUCUUUUUUGGGUAUUUUUUGGGUUUUGGAGAUGUUUUGGGGGUGAUUUUGCAAGUGUUUUGAGGUAAAUUGUCUUUUUUGGGUAUUAUUGGGGUUUUGGAGGUGUUUUUUCAAGUGUUUUGAGGUAAAUUGUCUUUUUUUGGGUAUUAUUGGGGUUUUGGAGGUGUUUUGGGGGUGUUUUUUCAAGUGUUUUGAGGUAAAUUGUCUGUUUUUGGAUGUUUAAUGGUGUUUUUGGAGUGUUUUGCAAGUUUUUGAGGUAAAUAGUGUGUUUUGGGGUGUUUAAUGGUGUUUUGAGAGUGUUUUGCAAGUGUUUUGAGGUAAAUAGUGUGUUUUGGGGUGUUUAAUUUUGUUUUGGGAGUGUUUUGCAAGUGUUUUGAGGUAAAUAGUUUGUUUUGGGGUGUUUAAUGGUGUCUUGGUGGUGUUUCAGGGUUAUAUAGGGGUGUUUGGGGGUGAUCUAGGGUAAGUAGUGUUAUCAAGGCUGUAGUGGAAGUUACUGUGGGUUUUCAAAGGGUGUUUCCAUGGUGAUUCACUUGUAUUUUAUCCCUUGUACAGUAAAACUCCCUUUCCCUGAGUUGGCAACACUGUUUGUUUACGUUCGCUGUUGUCUCGUCGUGUGUGAGUCAGAUUUGUGUCUUGUUCUUCCACUGCAGGGCAGAAGGAGGAGGGACAUCGGUGCCAGUUUGACCGAGGCUUGGGAGGUGAUCAAUCCUAGGGCUCUGUUCUCCGUCAGCUGUGUCAAGGGCCUGGGCAGAGAAGAAUAUCCACCAGGCACCGAGAGGCUCUGGAGAAGUUUGGAAGGGGACUACUGCAUCAUCCGCGUCUCAGAAACAUGCUGCCGCCCGAUGCGCCUCGCCCGGUCCGUGCCACCAGACACCACAACAGAAUAACGCCCCUGAAGGCGCCGCGCACGGACCGGUACAGACUCAGUGCGAUUCCCACCAUGCCUGGAGUUAACGCUGAUCUUCGCGACCCACCACAAGCAUAGUUACGACUCGUUGGCGCAGGACCGCAAGUUUUCCUUCCUGGGCCUGGUCAUGGCAGUUACACAGAGAGGGUUUAUGCGAAGUGUUAAGACUGGAACUGAAAAAGCAACUGCCAAUUAGGCACACACCUACAUUGUGAUGCAGCUCCUUGGAGGUGGAGAGCUGGCUGCCUCAGAGGAUCAGGAAACACGAGAGGUUCACAGAGGCUCGCCUCGGGCUUCGGUCGUCGUGAGGAACCUGGUGUCAGCAGUUCACUACGUGCACAGGAAAAGCAUCAGUGUUCACGGAGACCUAAAGCCAGACAGGGGUGAAAAGGGUUGGUGUUGAGGAUAGACAGAAAAGAAAAGAAAGGAAAGGUAAAAAAAGGAAGUUUUUUUGCAUUGAUUUUCCAUCUGCUUAUUUUAAAGAAUUUAUUGCAUGGAAUAUUAUUGAUCUCCAUCAUUUGUAUGGCCUUUAUAAUAAAAAGUAUGAAUUUA